rnacentral:rRNA from 1 species
CUUGUUUUUUAAAUAAAGACUAGUAUGAACGGCCCCACGAGGACUUAACUGUCUCCCUUGUCCAAUCAGUGAAACUGAUCUCCCCGUGCAGAAGCGAGGAUCUUUCCAUAAGACGAGAAGACCCUAUGGAGCUUUAAACUAAAAUCAACUAUUAUUCACCCAUUUUCUAAGGAACCAACAAAUAACUGAAUAUGCUUGACUUAAGUUUUAGGUUGGGGCGACCAUGGAGAAAAAAAGAUCCUCCCUGAUGACUAUAAACCAAGAACCACAACUCUAAGUAUUAAGAUACUUAACUCUAAUUGACCCAUUUUUGAUCAACGAACUAAGUUACCCUAGGGAUAACAGCGCAAUCCAUUUCAAGAGUCCCUAUCGACAAAUGGGUUUACGACCUCGAUGUUGGAUCAGGGCAUCCAAGUGGUGCAGCCGCUACUAAUGGUUCGUUUGUUCAACGAUUAAAGCCCU